CAUCAGAAACUCACCUAAAACUCCUUUUCUCUGAAUCGCUUUUCCUUCUUCAACCUUCAACCAAAAUCACUUUUCUCCAUGAAACACUUUUUCUUCACCGCAUAAUCACUUUUUCUCUGAACAAAUCAUUGUUUCUCUGUCAUCAAAACCGCUGCUUCUCCUUCAACAAUCCAAAUCACUGCUUCUCAGUCAUCGAUUGAUAUUGCUUCUCUGUCAUCGCGGCUUCUCUUCAUCAAUCCAAAAUCGCUGCUUCUCUUCAUCAAUCCAAAAUCGCUACUUCUCCUUCAUAGAUUGAAAUUGCUCAUGAAUUUCUCAAAACCUACUACUUGGGAUCUUUGUUGCAGAAUCUCUUUUCGAUCUUCGCUACAACGGUGCAUUUUCUCUGAUCGACACUAUUGAUAUUCCUUUUUACGCAUUUUAAGGCAUUGUUAGGCAAACCAUUGAGGAUAAAUUUUGCUCUCGAGAAAGCCCGUGGUGUACCUGUUGUAGUUCCUCGGUUUUCAGAUAUUCGAAACUUCUACAGGCACUGAUUUGAAUCGACCUUAUGAAAUUUAGGUGCGUAUUUUCUGCGAUCGAAAGUAUCAACAUUCAUUUUUACUAAUUCUAAGAACCAUUAUUCCAAUUUCCAUAAUGACUUCAAAUCUGAAAUAGAACAUCUAACAGUAUGUCAAAUCAAUUAAGCUUACAAGCUCAAGGCUCUGGAUGACACCUUAACAUUGAUUUGAAUCUCUAGUAGCCUCUAACAUCAAUAAGCUGAAUUAUCAUUCAUGUACAAACCGUAAGGAUAUGCUGGCAAAAUGUCCAAUGUAGAAUCAUUGACAGACACUUCUCCUAUUCUUCAGAUUCUCUCCUUAGUUCCUGAUUUAUUGGAGGUAAAGCUCUUUUUUUUAUGUAAGUUGAAGUCAUUGGAAGUUAACAUCACAACAGAUUUCCCGACUUGUUUUAAUCUGAAGCAGGUUGAGGAAUCUAUAAAGGGUGCAAAGAUUAUCAAAUACCGUUCGCAAUUCUCCGCUCCUGCCUCCCCCUCUGCCGCACCUGCUUCUGAUGCUGCUCCUUCUUCUGUCGCUGAGCCUGCCACAGCUGCACCUCCCAAUCUUCAUCUGUCUCCCUAGAAAGGAUGAUAAAUCAUCCAAUAAAGAUGAGGAGGAGAAGAACCAACAUAACACUAAGUCUCCACUUCAAGAUAAUGGGCAGUGAAGAGUUCUCAUAUUUCCUACAGGUUAUAAUGCCUUCUUUGUGAACCUUUGUUGUACGAUGUUAGAUAAGUGACCGAUAAUAUCAGUUUGAUCGACUUUACUGAAAUCUGUUGUUUGAUUUGAAAAGCAGUUGGUACAUGACUCUUUAUUCGAGGUCCAUGAGAUUCAUCAAGCUGUUAGUUUCUAGUUUUGAAGCCAUAUUGUAAUAUAGGUUUUUAGCAACCAUCUUGGAGUAGGUUUUGGAUACUAAGUUGUAGUGUACAAAUCAUAUUCUCUGCCACUUAUAUGUGUGUCUAUCCCUGUAUGAUCAAGUUUGUUUGGUUUUUGGCAGCCUUCAUGAAUCAUUUAGUUGCUAAUUGACAA